AUGAACGCUAGCGGCAGGCCUAACACAUGCAAGUCGAGGGGGAAGUUACUUUCGGGUGACUGAGCCCGGCGUCCGGGUGCGUAACGCGUAUACAAUCUGCCUUUCACUGGGGGAUAGCCCGAAGAAAUUUGGAUUAAUACCCCAUAGUAUAUAGGGACGGCAUCGUUUUUAUAUUAAAGCUUAGGUGGUGAAAGAUGAGUAUGCGUUCUAUUAGCUAGUUGGAGAGGUAACGGCUCCCCAAGGCGAUGAUAGAUAGGGGUUCUGAGAGGGAUGUCCCCCACACUGGUACUGAGAUACGGACCAGACUCCUACGGGAGGCAGCAGUGAGGAAUAUUGGACAAUGGUCGGAAGACUGAUCCAGCCAUGCCGCGGGCAGGAUGAAGGUCUUAUGGAUUGUAAACUGCUUUUGUAAGGGAAGAAUAAGGGCUACGCGUAGUUUGAUGACGGUACCUUACGAAUAAGCAUCGGCUAACUCCGU
rnacentral:rRNA from 1 species